CAAUGGCCGGGGCGGGGGCGGAGCCCGCCGCCCUCCGCAAUAAAACUUUUUGAUGUUCGCUCUGCUAAUUGCCGAGCUCCUCUUUUAGGAUUGGCUGCCCCUCCGCAUCCCUAAUGUAAUUAAAACAAGGGGGGAAAAAUUAUCAUGGAGGCAGAGGUUAAUGCAAGUGUUUAGCAGAUGCCUUACAGUAAAACCUGCGUUAAAAAAAAAAAAAAAAAAAAAAUUGAAAAAAACCCCAAACAACAAAAAAACCCCUACAAACUCAUUAAAACUUAAAUAUCGGAUAAUCUCAAACCAGCUUACUGACUGCGCCUAUGCACCUCCACCACCAGCGUUCACCCGAGUGACUCAGGCGCCUGAAAUCGGUUUCAUGCUUCUUGAACCGAUAUGAUCGCAUCUGAAAUUCAGACGGUGGAGGAAGAAGAAAGCUGGACUGGCAUCGUUUUGUGUUUAGGUUAACAAAAACCAACAUUUCUAUUGUCAUUCUUCAUGGAAAGUCUCCAUUUAACGAGGCUGGGGCUUAAGAAACCUUCAUAGAUCAAAGGAAAGUUAAGAAGACGGAAAAUGAAGAAGUGUACCUCCCCAGACCUGGAGGGAAACGGAGCGGCGGCCAAAAGGAGUGGGUGUAAAUGCGACAACAAAAAUAAAUACUUUAUAUCACCCUGCAGAACUUA